rnacentral:rRNA from 1 species
UACGGGAGGCAGCAGUGGGGAAUAUUGCACAAUGGGCGCAAGCCUGAUGCAGCCAUGCCGCGUGUAUGAAGAAGGCCUUCGGGUUGUAAAGUACUUUCAGUCGUGAGGAAGGUGUUAAGGUUAAUAACCUUAGCAAUUGACGUUAGCGACAGAAGAAGCACCGGCUAACUCCGUGCCAGCAGCCGCGGUAAUACGUAGGGUGCGAGCGUUGUCCGGAAUUACUGGGCGUAAAGAGCUCGUAGGUGGUUUUGUCGCGUCGUGUGUGAAAUUCCGGGGCUUAACUCGGGGUUGCAUACGAUACGGGCAUAACUUGAGUGCUGUAGGGGAGACUGGAAUUCCUGGUGUAGCGGUGAAAUGCGCAGAUAUCAGGAGGAACACCGAUGGCGAAAGGCAGGGUCUCUGGGGCAGUAACUGACGCUGAGGAGCGAAAGCAUGGGGAGCGAAACAGGAUUAAGGAAUACC